UACGAAGGGGGCUAGCGUUGUUCGGAAUUACUGGGCGUAAAGCGUAUGCAGGCGGAUCGCUAAGUCAGGGGUGAAAUCCCCGGCUCAACUGGGGAGGGUCACGCGAUACUGUUCGACUCGAAGGCAGGAGAGGGUAGUGGAAUUCCCGGUGUAGUGGUGAAAUGCGUAGAUAUCGGGAGGAGCACCAGUGGCGAAGGCGACUACCUGGCCUGUUCUUGACGCUGAGGCGCGAAAGCUAGGGGAGCAAACGGG
rnacentral:rRNA from 1 species